rnacentral:rRNA from 1 species
AGAGAGAGACAUGCGCGCAUAUCAAUAAGCGGAGGAAAAGAAACUAACAAGGAUUCCCCUAGUAACGGCGAGUGAAGCGGGAAGAGCUCAAAUUUGAAAUCUUAAAGGGUUUCCCUUUACGAAUUGUAGUUUAAAGAAGUGUUUUCUGUUGAGGUUUUGGUAAAAGUUCUUUGGAAUAGGACAUCAUAGAGGGUGAGAAUCCCGUAUUUGACCUUUACUUUCAACUUUGUGAUACACUUUCAAAGAGUCGGAUUGUUUGGGAAUGCAGUCCAAAAUGGGUGGUAAAUUUCAUCUAAAGCUAAAUAUUGGCGAGAGACCGAUAGCGAACAAGUACCGUGAGGGAAAGAUGAAAAGAACUUUGAAAAGAGAGUUAAACAGUACGUGAAAUUGUCAAAAGGGAAGCGUUUGACACCAGUGUUGUUUUUCUGAAAAUCAAUUAAAGAACUGUUUAUGCUAAGUUGUUUAGACUUUAUCAGCUAACUGUUUAGUUUUGAGCUUUUCUUUAAUGCACUUUUCAGUUAACAAGUCAACAUCAAUUUCUUUUGCUGUAAAAAAGCUUGAGGAAGGUGGCUUGAGAUUCGUCUUAAGUGUUUAUAGCCUCUUGCCUAUGCAGUCGGAGAGAUUGAGGUCUGCAGCGUAGAUCCUUCGGGGCUAAAUGCAUUUGUGCUAAGUUAUAGCAUUUUAUAGACAACUUGUAGACUAUGAUUUGUCUUGUAGCUUACUCGCUUAUGUUAUUUUACCUACGCUUAGGAUGUUGACGCAUGAGAUAUACGC